ensembl:lncRNA
GCUAAACGCCUGCACACGCAUAAAAGAGACGACAAGACGCCAUGCGAGAGACGGGCCCCGUUGUACGGGUGAGGAGACUUCACUGAGAAACUCUCUCCUCCGUCUCUUCUGCAGGGGAAGAAGGGCUGUGUGUCUGGUGGAGGAAUGCAGCCUUACCUCCUCCGAGAGCCGCCCCAGCACUGUGGCGGAGCACAGAGUCACAUCUACGGCUGGACUUCACUGUGUAUAAACAGUGAUCGGCAACCAAAGCCGUCUCGAAACCACCAAGCUGACAAACGGAGUGAAAAAACAAUUCUGUGAAUGUGUUCCUGAGGUGACUAUGGGUGUUACGGGCCUCUCAUAAUACAUAUCAUUGAAUGACUCCAGGGUCUCUGACGUGUCUUGGCUACUGAACGCCUUUCACAUCAAAGAAACAGGGCAACAUUAGAGACUUUCUUGUUAUUUCAUAUCUAAAACAGUAACGAAUACGUGCGUGUGCGUGAUCGAAAAUUAUCUAUAAAAAGGGUACAAUUUGUAAUGAGUUGUGUAAACG